GUGCCAGCAGCCGCGGUAAUACCUGCAGCUCAAGUGGUGGCCGUUAUUAUUGGGCCUAAAACGUCCGUAGCCGGUUUAAUAAAUGCCUGGGUAAAUUGUGUAGCUUAACUAUACGAAUUCCGGGUAGACUGUUAAACUUGAGACCGGGAGAAGUUAGAGGUACUCCUGGGGUAGAGGUGAAAUUCUGUAAUCCUAGGGGGGACCACCAGUGGCGAAGGCGUCUAACUAGAACGGGUCGGACGGUGAGGGACGAAGCCCUGGGGCGCAAACGGGAUUAGAUACCCCGGUAGUCCAGGGUGUAAACGCUGCUUGCUUGAUGUUAGUUGGGCUCCGAGCCCAAUUAGUGUCGGAGAGAAGUUGUUAAGCAAGCUGCCUGGGAAGUACGGUCGCAAGACUGAAACUCAAAUGAAUUGGCGG
rnacentral:rRNA from 1 species